rnacentral:lncRNA from 1 species
CUGCCUUUGCCCGCCUGUACCAGGUCCGGUCGCCUCUUCCUUUGCGCAAUUCCUCGAGCAGGUCAUAUAUGUGGCGUAUGUGUGUUGUUUAAUGGAUGGUGAGCUUAUUUUCUGGUGGUUGGGGUCCAGGAUUUGCUCCUGUGGUUCAAGUUGAAUACCGGGGAGAUGGAGAUGGUGACAUGGCUGGCUUCUGUGGUGGUGAGGUUCAAGUUCUACAACGAGGUCAUGGUUGUUUGCAUGUCUGUUUAGGUCUAUUUUUUGUGUGUAUGGUUGAAAAACAAAGCCAUGCCUAUUAGUCUGGAAAAUAAAGUCAAGCUUAUGUGUUAAAAAUAGUUUGAUUAACUGGCAAGUGGCCAUUUUGCAAUGGUGAGAUGAGCUAGCUAGCUUGUGUUGAUGCAUGUAUGUUUGGUCAAGGCUAGCUAGCUGCAGCAGUUUGACUAGUACAUAAGAGAAGAGACACUAUGUCAGCAUGUGCAAUCAGAAUCGGGAUGUAUACUUCACACUAUUGUAUAACUUAACUAGCAGUCCUCCAUUCAUGUAGAUGUAGUACGUACAUUCCUUGUUCUUUUUCCAAGUUUUUUCAUCUCGCUUUUGCUUUUCUUUUCAGUAUUUUGUAUUUCUGUAUCAUUUAGCUCCUGUUCCUAAGGCUGAUGCAUCCACUGACAUGUCAACAUCAUGUCAUGUGUGUUCUUUCUCCAAGAUGUAGUGCAGGGGUUCUUAUUUGAUGUUCUUAUAUACGCUAUGUUAUCAUGCAGGUGGCCGUUGGGCCUAUCUGAAGAGCAACAAUGUAACGCUUUUGAGCUUAGGUACAAGAAGUCGUAUUUGAAAGGGGACGAGAUGAUGUUCAUCAAAAUGAAACUGAAAAGGUUGGUCUAUCAUCUCUUAGUUAUACAUCACAUUUAGUUAUGCGCCAAUUUAUUUCUAGACAACAUGAGCAUGGAGAAACAUAUAUGUGAAAGGUUGGUCUAUCUGAAGAGCAACAAUGUAACGCUUUUGAGCCAGCGUACAAUGGCUUUCAAGACGCAUGCUACAGAUAACUUGCUUCGAGUCCUGCUCUUUUUAUUUGAGGUGUUUUCUUAGCUUACCACGUUGCCUAGGUGGUACUAUUGUAGUAUAUAUAAUGUAUGCACCUGCUUGUGCCCUAUUUUCCUAGAUGUGGCUCAUAACUUAGAAAUCUAUCUUUUGGCUGUUUUCUUUACACUAAAUCCAUCUUAAUUAAGGUGCCAGGGGAAAAAAAUUUUUGAAUCCAUAUAGGCAAAUAUGUUACUAUAAUCAAUUACAAUAAAAUCAUUUGCACAGAGAAAAUUUCAACAUUAGACAAUAUGAUUUGGCAUGUUUGACCCUCUGUCAGGCAUCCUCCUUUCUAGCUUUUGUUUUUCCCUGUAAUGGCUUUGCCUCUUUUGGUCCUGAACUUUUGAGACCAUGACGCUUUUGAGAAUGUAUGGAAAGCUUGGUUUCAUUAUAGCAAUGGAACCAGGGUCUAAAAAAGUGGACAUUGUUGAGAAGAAUUGGAAGUACAUACAGAAAUACUGGUAGCUUUAACCAUGGAGAAUGAUUUUGACCUCUCAUACAAAACAUAAGAAGUGGCUUAAUUUAAUUAGGUAUGUGUAGCAUAAUCUAAACUAUUGUUGGUGGAGAUUUAGUGUGAGCUGCUGCUAUUUAAUUUGUUUUGAAUGAACAAACAAAUUAUAUAUUUCUUUAAAUGGCAUUCUUAACCAGUUUACUGUAUGCCCAAACUGCCCAGUAGUGGUUUGCUAGUCUACUACUGCAAAAUAUAAACGUUGGUAUAUACUUCAGUGGGGUUGUAGAUGUCCAUUGUACUUGGUUAAUAUAUAUUUUUGUAAUCGCAACAAGCCAAUGAACCGAUUAUCGACGCUGCAUUGUAUCUUUCAGAUAAGGAUUUUUUUACCUGUAUCACCUGUCCAUCUUGGUGUAACCAUAGCACAUGCGGGUUCUAGAGAUAUGAUUAAUAAAAUUAAUUAGAAAAAUGUCAUGUUCUUUGAAUUAUAUGAAUGUUACAAGUAAUUCGAAAAGCAUGAUGUAUUCUGAACCGUUGCAAACUUAUUAUGAAAUUGAAAUCAGUGUGGUUUAUUGGUAGAUUAUUCCUUUAGUACACAGAGCAAUGUGUAGUCCUCAAUCUUUAUUAUUUGGAGUAUGUGUUCCUGGUGAUUCAUGUUACCCUGAAAAUUGCUUGUGAAGGAUCAAAAGGUUAAUACGUAGUGAUACUGUUAGAUAGCAGCUAACCAGUCAAUUAGAACAUCUAAGUUUUGUCAUUGUAUGCUCAAUUAAAUUUCAACUAGAUUACACAAUUUUCAUCUCCCUUACAACUACUCUAAUCAUUUCUUAGGAGUGGGAAACAAUACCGGAGGAAUCGUGAUCUAUGGCAAGGGUGAUGAUGUCUAUGGUGAUGAUUGUCAUGAUCUAUAUGGCAAUGGGCGUUAUGAUCCAUAUGGUGAUGAAGAUGAGUCUGAUCUUUCUUCAGGAUAUGCAACAAAGUGAACUUAUGAAGUUUUGGUCAAUUUUAGCUUAUGCGCAUAAUGCUUGGACCAUUAUAUCUUAGUUACUAUUUUUGUUUAGCAUUUCAAACUUCCUAGAUAGAUCAUUAUAAUCGAUGUAAUUUGGAUCCGCUAAAUAUACUAUAUGUUACUUGGUCAUGUGUGGUUGUGCAAUUAUAAGAUAGUAUAUUUGAAGUGGAAAACAAUCCUUUCGGGGUGACU